UAGAGCAUUUUAUAUAAGGAAG
rnacentral:miRNA from 1 species